CCAUGAAAAAAAAAAUUCACAUAUAAUAUAAACAAUGAAUUGAGAAGAAAAAAUAUUGAAUAUUCUCGGCCAAGGCAAUAACAGAUGAACAAAUUACUUCGGUGUAUAUGCCUACGAAAUAUGAGACUAUUAUAAACAACAUCAAUCAUGCGCAAAGUAAUAGCAAUACCACCUCCAACAAACUAUCAGGACAUAUAUAUUUAUAUUCAUGUGUGAUUCCUUCUAACUUUUCAAACAAGCCUACAAAAAAAUAAAACAGAAAAUCAAGCUACCGUUUAAGGUUCAUCAGGGUCUUCAUCCCUGGCACCUUCAUCACCCAUUUGUUCAUUUUCCUCUAGCAUGUUCAUCAGCAUGGAUAUUUGCUCCUGCAGCAUAGUGUUCUCUCUCUCUACCUCGGCACGUUUACUUCGUUCUUGCAGAAGCUGGAGUUGCAGGUGUUCUAGACACCUUGCAUCCCCUUCCAACUGCUCAUUUAAUCCAUUGAUUUCUCGGUCCUUUCUGUUCAUUUCCUGAACAGCAAUCCUCCUCAUGCUUUCAACAACAUCUACAUUAACAAGCUUCCGCUUCUUUCCAAUUAGCCAACCCUUGGGAUAGCUUGUUGAGUCGAAAUCAGGUGGAGGGAGAAGGGAUUCAGCUGAUGGUCGUUUGCCAUUGAUAUUUGUUACAGGUUCCAAUGGUUCAAAGAGAGCCUUUCGCCGCUCUGAAAGCUCCGGAAGUGCAUUGGCCUCCUGCAUCUUUUCAUCAUUGGAAAAUUCUUCCUGUUUGUUGGGAGUUUCAUUCGCAGUAUCGUCUGUUACCUUGUCUAAACUCCUCCCGCUAGCUGUUGGAAACAAGUUACCAUUCUACUUCCAACAAGUUUAGACAUGGCAAAUUUGCAAACACAACAGCAUAAGAAAUGUAAUGGGUGGCAUUUAUACUAUACUGCUUUCAGCAGCACUACUGGUUGCAAGCUAGAAGGAGAAAUGCAAAUACAUGGGAUAAAUAAAAUGACAAGAAAACUGUAGUUUAUGCCCAAUCAUAUUUGAAAUGAAGGAUACUCCCUCCCCACCACAACCUCUUCUGCAUUUUCUCCCCCUAAUCCUUCCAACCAAACAGAAGAUUCAUUGAUUCAAUUCUCUGCUUUCCUUCACAUAUUCUUGAUUCUUCUACUUUUCCUGCUUGAUAUAUAAACAUAAUGACAAGUUUCCUCCUGCAAGACAUGGUAGACUAAUACAUGCUACCAAGCUUAACUGGUAAAUUGUUUGCUAUUUGUAAAAACAUUUGGGAUCAUAUUCAGAGUGCAAUAGGGAGUAUGUUUUAGAUAGACCGACUUCUAUCUAAUAAUUUUAAAAGAAUCCCUCUUGCAUUUGGCAGUCUGGAAAAAAUUAAGAAAAGUUAAACUGAAACUUACUAGCUUAAGUAAAUAAGAAUAAUAAACUUUAAAUACAUUUUUAACUAUUGAAAACUUAUAAAGGGAUAACAGCUAUUAGGAAAAUUUGUGUAGAUAAAUGUAGGAAAAUGAAACCAGGACAGAGAUUUUGGCAGAACAAUAUGAGACUGCCAAGCUCAAUAAUUGCAAACAGAUGCAGAGAGACGCAAAGUAGAAAAUAUACAGAUAAAUAUACAAAAGAAAAAGACAUAUAAUAAUGGUAAUAAUUAUAAUGGUAAGCUAACCUAACCUUAAAAUUAACGUAGCAGCAAAUCAAUAGGCUACCAGCUAGUCAUAUCAUACUGUUCUCUCUCUAAACAACCAAAUGUCAAAGCUACUGUUUGUCUCUUUCCCUCGCUUUGUUGAGACAGAAUUAACUUGGAAAAUUAUUCCAAGCAAUUAAGAAAAUUGAAGGAUCUUGCUUUUGACACAGCUAAUUAAAGAUUGUUAGCUUAGUGUUACUGAAAUUGUGACUUCAGUCUCGAGUUCAAAUCUAGUAAGAACCAAUUGUACUUAAAAAAAAAUCAAAUAAAUGGUAGAAUUGACCAAUUUUAAGAGAGAUCUUUCAAAGCCAUAACAUAAAAAUGGAAAUUCUUCACUUAUAUCAGAUUUUCAAAUGUGGUUUUGUUGGAUAUGCUUUCAUAUCAAGCAAAUAUCAUAAAACCAUUCUAAAUUCAACGUAUUCUUUCCUUUCUUUUCUCUUUGGUGUUACUUUUUCUUGGAAAGCAAACAGAGAGAGAAGAGAAACGGAAGUUCAAAUAAUAGAAACAAAUACCUGAUCUCCUUCGAGAUUUCCAAAAGAUCCUAGGUGUAGAGACUGGAGAGAAGCCAUCCAAAACCCCAUCCACCACCUUCUUCCCAUCUUUAUUACUGUACUGCCUCCUUUUUUCCAUAGGAGACAAGCCUCAAGUAUUAAGAAUAGAAAAUAUCAAGGUCUCUCUCUGUGGAUGAUUUUCUUGAAGAAAAAGAAAAGAUGGUGUUUGUUACAGCUUUCCUAGUAUUUCUUUCCUCGCACUUCGGUUUCUGGUCUUCACCUACGAGGAAAGAAGGAAAGAAAUAACAAGAACUAGAACAACAAGAAGAAGAAAAUUUCUUUGAGAAGAUGGAUAAUGGGGUCACAGAGUGAUGACGAGACCAUCAAAGCCCCUCAACGCUUGGGGUUUGGCUUUUUCUAUGGAAGAUUUU
rnacentral:misc_RNA from 1 species